AAACAAGAUGCAUUUUUGAGAUGAAAUUAAAACUGCCAGGCUGCAAUAUUGGGGAUGUUUGUUUAAUAGCGUGUGAUCCAGAGCAUGGAUCUGAUUUUCGGGAAUUUAUAAUAAUCUGUAUUUUGUCGUGUGCUGAGAAACGUAAGACAUCAUGGUUUUUCUCAAAGGUGACCAGACGAGUCUGCCAAAGGAGGGAGGAUGGAUACCACAGACGGGAUCCACGUUUGCAUUAAACCCUUGCGAGAAGGAGCAGGACAAGGAGCAGAGCAGUCACCCUGGAUUUCUGUGCCUUGAAGAGAACCUGCCCUGCUUUGUAACAGUGGUGCUCACCUCCAGGAGCCCUCCCUUCUUUUGCCCGCUGUGGAGACAUUUCCAAAUCUCCCUGCAAUCCAGGAGGAAGGGUAGAUUUUCUUUUUGUCAUCCUUCAUCAAGUACGGAGGCUCUGAGCGCAGAAGAAUUCCACUACAAUGCUGCAAGUUUCAUUUCAUAA
rnacentral:lncRNA from 1 species